CCCACCACAGGCUUUGUGGUUGUAUCGCUCACGGCUUAUUUAAGACCCAAGAUGGCGGCGUCCGCUCCGUGCAAAAAUACGGCCUGCGUACCAGGUGUGGAAAGGCGUCCAAAGGACGAAUUUACUGAGGAAAGUGGUGAAACUGGACAGUUUUUGUGUUGUGAUACUCCAGAUGGGGACUUUUAAGCAUAUUAAUACUUAUCAUUUGUUCUGGAAGCAUCUCAGAGCUAAUGACAAGAAAAUAGGAUUCCAUCGAGUCUCCUG